UGCCGACCGGGUGCCUGCACGAAGUUCGGCAUCAAUAUGGUGACCUCCUGGGAGCGGGGGGGGGGCCACCAAGUUGCCUAAGGAUGGCUGAACUGGCCCAGGUCAGAAACGGAGCAGGUCAGAACUCCCGCACCGACCGGUAGUGGGACUGUGCCUGGGCG
rnacentral:SRP_RNA from 1 species